CGGUUUACGUUUUACUCGUGAUAUAUUAUCCGUAAUAUCGGGAUUGCCGAAUAAAGUAUUGGGCGAUCGUUAUUAGUGUGCAGUUCGAGAAUAGGAUAAUGUCAGCAGAAAGUGGCAUCCAUGGAGCGACUCGAAUCAUACCAGAAAAGGAAUGUAGCAGUAGCAGUAGCAGCAGCUGCAUCAGCAGUAGGAGCAGCGACAGCUAUUGGUGAGUGAUUUUUUAUCAAAUUAAUAUUUGAAUUUAUAUCACGUAUAUGUAGAACAAACUGAUAUGUGAUAAACGUGAUGCGAGAUAAAAUAUUGCUCUAUUUUAAAAGAAAAAUAUCACCAAGUUGAUUGAUUAAUUAAAUACUUGGUUUUUCAUUAAUAUUUCUAACGCCUUAAAUAAAAAUAAUUACAAUAGCAUAUUAGAAUCUUUUAAUACUGAAACAAGAAAUAAGAAAUUAAUUCCAAUGGUAAGGCGCAGCAUUUUUCUAAUGCUGAAUAAAUCUCGUAGAUAGAGCAAUAAUUUCGUAAUGCAAAGAAAAGUAAAAGCUUAUAUUUUGAAAGUUUAUAUUUCUAAUACCAAAUAUCCAGUACAUUUUGUUCUUAUAAUUACAAUGCAAAACUUAGAAAACUUUAACAUUCUGAUAA